rnacentral:rRNA from 1 species
CAGUAGCCGCGGGAAUACGUAGGUCCCGAGCGUUGUCCGGAUUUAUUGGGCGUAAAGCGAGCGCAGGCGGUUGGAUAAGUCUGAUGUGAAAGCCCCCGGCUCAACCGGGGAGGGUCAUUGGAAACUGGGAAACUUGAGUGCAGAAGAGGAGAGUGGAAUUCCACGUGUAGCGGUGAAAUGCGUAGAGAUGUGGAGGAACACCAGUGGCGAAGGCGACUCUCUGGUCUGCAACUGACGCUGAGGAGCGAAAGCGUGGGGAGCGAACAGGAUUAGAUACACCAGUAGUCCCUGUCUCUUAUAC